AAGUAGGCCUGCGUUAAGGAUGGAAGUGGCAUCCUUUUUUUGCUGCCAUAUAUGGCAAAAAAAGAUAUAACGGACAGCCUGACCACGC
rnacentral:sRNA from 1 species